UUUUUUCAAAAGCUUUGAUUUUCUGAUAGCCAAAUACAACCCAAUAUCCAUAUUGCACCCUAAAUUUUUAAAAUUUUGAUAAGAUGCAUAUGAGGAAGGUCGAGUUCUUUCAAGAAGUUGAUCUUGUGGGUUAUGUUUCGGCUCAAUUCAUUUCUAAAAAAUUCUCUCUUGAGUUUUUGUUUAAACCAAAUAUUUUCUUCUUUCAUUGGGUUUCUCGAGAAAGUUUUUACUUAAUUGUGAAAACCAUAAGGAGUAUUAAGUUUAUGUUAGCUCAUUUUUCU
rnacentral:lncRNA from 1 species